GUGGCGGACGGGUGAGUAACGCGUGAGAAUCUGCCUCUGGGUUCGGGACAACAGUUGGAAACGACUGCUAAUACCGGAUGUGCCUUCGGGUGAAAGAUUUAUUGCCUAGAGAUGAGCUCGCGUUGGAUUAGCUAGUUGGUGGGGUAAGAGCCCACCAAGGCGACGAUCUAUAGCUGGUCUGAGAGGAUGAUCAGCCACACUGGGACUGAGACACGGCCCAGACUCCUACGGGAGGCAGCAGUGGGGAAUUUUCCGCAAUGGGCGAAAGCCUGACGGAGCAAUACCGCGUGAGGGAGGAAGGCUUUUGGGUUGUAAACCUCUUUUCUCAAGGAAGAAUACAAUGACGGUACUUGAGGAAUAAGCAUCGGCUAACUCCGUGCCAGCAGCCGCGGUAAUACGGAGGAUGCAAGCGUUAUCCGGAAUGAUUGGGCGUAAAGCGUCCGCAGGUGGUUAUGCAAGUCUGCAGUUAAAGAGUGAAGCUUAACUUCAUAAGGGCUGUGGAAACUGCGUGACUAGAGUGCGUUCGGGGUAGAGGGAAUUCCUGGUGUAGCGGUGAAAUGCGUAGAUAUCAGGAAGAACACCGGUGGCGAAGGCGCUCUACUAGGCCGCAACUGACACUGAGGGACGAAAGCUAAGGGAGCGAAUGGGAUUAGAUACCCCAGUAGUCUUAGCUGUAAACGAUGGAUACUAGGCGUUGCUUGUAUCGACCCGAGCAGUGCCGUAGCUAACGCGUUAAGUAUCCCGCCUGGGGAGUACGCACGCAAGUGUGAAACUCAAAGGAAUUGACGGGGCCCGCACAAGCGGUGGAGUAUGUGGUUUAAUUCGAUGCAACGCGAAGAACCUUACCA
rnacentral:rRNA from 1 species